rnacentral:rRNA from 1 species
UAGUCAUAUGCUUGUCUCAAAGAUUAAGCCAUGCAAGUCUCUGUAUAAGCAAUUAUACUGUGAAACUGCGGAAAGCUCAUUAUAUCAGUUAUAGUUUAUUUGAUGGUACCCUUGCUACAUGGAUAACCGUAGUAAUUCUAGAGCUAAUACAUGCCCAGAAGCCGCGACUUCGGAAGCGGUGGACUUAUUAGAUCAAGAGCCAACCCUCCUCGGAGGACUAAGCUGAAUCAUAGUAAUUUUGCUAAUCGCAGUGGGUUUUCCCGGCGAUGGGUCAUUCAAAUUUCUGCCCUAUCAGCUGUGAUGUUAGUGUAGUGGACUAACAUGGCAUAAACGGGUAACGGAGGAUUAGGGUCUGAUUCCGGAGAGGGAGCCUGAGAAAUGGCUACCACUUCCAAGGAAGGCAGCAGGCGCGUAAAUUACCCAAUCCCGACACGGGGAGGUAGUGACAAGAAAUAACAAUACCGGAUCUUUUUAGAUCUGGUAAUUGGAAUGAGUACAACUUAAAAUCCUUAACAAGGACCAAUUG